GUCCGGGCGAGGAGCGCGGCGGCCAGGCCCGCGCGGGACGUCGCCCCCGGUGGAGCGGGGCCGCGCGUGGGUCCCCUGUCGCCCGCCCCUCGGACCCGGGCUGGGGGACGCGGUUCGGGAGAGCGAGGCAGCGCGGGGAGGACAGCCGCCGGGGGCCGGGUGAGGACAGGUGGAGCACGGAGGCGACCGAGCAGCAGGGCGGGGUGGCCAAGCCGCACGCGGCUGUGGCGCGGAGCGGGCUCGACGCGGUGGCUGAGUGGGUCACCCGCGGUGUCCCUCCGGGACCGGCGGGGACCUGAGGAGGGGCGGCCCGGGGAGGGGGCACGCAGGGCCGCGCAGCGGGGCCUCGGUGAGCUGCGGGAGGGCGCGCGCGCGCGCGCGCGCUCGGGUUCCGCCGGCAUCUGGCGCGGGAUCGGGGCCUCCGCGCACCCGCCGCGCGCUCCCCACGCACACACGCCCUUCCUGCCGCGCCGCUGCCACCAUCGAGCAGGCGAACCCCGCGGAGCGGAACCGGGCGGAGCGGACCGGAGAGGCUCCAGAGAUGCGGGACCUGAGCGGGGGCGCGCGCAGACGGCGCGCCCGGGACGCUUCCUGCACCCCCAGGCCCUAAGGUGACUCCGGCCCAGCUGCACUCAGUCAACCCCUAGCUGGAGUAUCCAGUACCUCUCCAUCUGCUUGGAGAAGGAAGAGAUGGGCAGCAGUUCUCACACAGGGACAGAGUCUCACUUUCCCCUCUGGCUGGAGCUGGAGAUUAGGCCAUGUGAGCAGAGCCUGGCCCUCCUCCAGGAAUCCUUCUAUGGCUGCUGGACGUGCUCGUUCCACCUCUGUCUGCCAUGGGAUCCAUCCCAUGCUCCUUCCAGGGCUCGAUCCUCCACCAUCACCCCCACCAUGGCC
rnacentral:lncRNA from 1 species